UUGUUUUUUUUUUCAUUGGUCAGCUCCUUCAGUUGAUUCACCUGUUGGAACAAGGCUCACCCCCAGUCAUCCAUUGCAGUGCAGGGAUUGGUCGGACAGGUACACUCAUAGCUAUGGAUGUUGCACUGGCCACUAUUGAACAAGCUCUUAAGUUGGACAUGUUUGAUAUAGUUCAUCAAUUGAGAAAACAAAGACAUGGGAUGAUCCAAACAACAGAACAGUAUAUCUUCUACUAUGGAGCUUGCAUGGAGGCCCUCUUGAGUCUAGACCUUGAGAAAAAGGAAGGAAUUAAUUUCAAAGAAUAGAUCUGUUUUUUUCUAUAAAUGACAACUUUUGUUGACAAUUUUUUGUUUUACAACAUAUGCAUUUAACAUACCGGUAACUGAAUUUCAAACUAGUGUUUAUAUUAUAAAUACAAUUUAAUAUGGCAGGUUCCAUUGAGAUGUUCAGUCCUAGACACUGAGUACUCACAAACUUGUGUAAAUAGUUCUUUGUCUAGCUGUUUUAAUUUUAUGUGUUUUUUUUUUCACAUAAUCUGAAAAAAAAAAAAAAAAAGUGAUUUCCUUUUAUGGCAUCUGGUUGUGAUAAAUUGUGACCUAUUUAUACUUUCUUUUUUUUUUUUUUCUCUCAACUCUUCUCGUCCUCUUGAUGUAUGGGAGACACUAGAUUGAUGUUUGUGCAAUUACUCUCUCCGUCCACCAUUUAGCAUUAUAUUUGUUUAAAAGAAGAAAAAAAAAGUUGAACAUUUUUCAUUUCAUUCAUUUGUGAGCUCAUCUACUACAAAACUUGUCAAGCAUUGGAGAAUAAUCUGAUGGGAUUUUGACUUCAGAUGUUGUUACCACCUCAGAUCCUAAGUGGCUACUUUAAUAUGAAAAAAAGGCCACACAAAUCCCUUGGCUGAAAAUAGUUCCACUCUACUUGCCUCUGUAAAUUGUUUCUUUUGUUGUAACAGAAUAAUGUAACCAAUUAUACAACUUGAAUGGCGAUGUAGAAUAUAUACAACUUUGUAUGCAAAUAUUUUGUGUGCAAUAUUACUUCAUAUAUAUUUCCUGUACUCAUAUUUUAA
rnacentral:sRNA from 1 species